rnacentral:sRNA from 1 species
GUUUCAAUUCCUCAUAGGCAGGCUAUCGGCGGAAUGACACUGGAACAAUUCCGCGCGUAUGAGCGG